CGUGGCGAUCGGUCCGCCCCUCACGGGGUGUGCACCUGGUCUCUACGUCCAUCCUCGGGGAGAGCGCGCCUGGCAUUCAGUUGUCGGGCGUGGGAUCCUCGUCAUUUACUGUGAGCAAAAUAGAGUGUUCAAAGCAUGCUUACGCCGUUGAAUACAUUAGCAUGUAAUAAUAAGAUAGGACCUUGGUCUAUUUUGUUGGUUUGUAUUCCAAGGUAAUGAUUAGGGGGGGUAGUUGGGGGUAUUCGUAUUCAAUUGUCAUAGGCGAAUUUCUUGGAUUUAUGGAAGACGAACUACUG
rnacentral:rRNA from 1 species